rnacentral:rRNA from 1 species
UGGGGAAUUGUUCGCAAUGGGCGCAAGCCUGACGACGCAACGCCGCGUGGAGGAUGAAGAUCUUCGGGUCGUAAACUCCUUUCGAUCGAGACGAACAGCCUUCGGGUAAACAAUCCGGAGGUCUGACGGUACCGAGAGAAGAAGCCCCGGCUAACUCCGUGCCAGCAGCCGCGGUAAUACGGGGGGGGCAAGCGUUGUUCGGAAUUACUGGGCGUAAAGGGCUCGUAGGCGGCCAACUAAGUCAGACGUGAAAUCCCUCGGCUUAACCGGGGAACUGCGUCUGAUACUGGAUGGCUUGAGUUUGGGAGAGGGAUGCGGAAUUCCAGGUGUAGCGGUGAAAUGCGUAGAUAUCUGGAGGAACACCGGUGGCGAAGGCGGCAUCCUGGACCAACACUGACGCUGAGUGAGCGAAAGCCAGGGGAGCAAACGGGAUUAGAUACCCCGGUAGUCCUGGCCCUAAACGAUGAAUGCUUGGUGUGGCGGGUAUCGAUCCCUGCCGUGCCGAAGCUAACGCAUUAAGCAUUCCGCCUGGGGAGUACGGUCGCAAGGCUGA